ACUAACAUGUGCGUUGACAAGUAGACCGCAUAAUAAGUUUACACAUAAAUAUAGACAUACAAAAUAGUCUACUAUUACAAUACAUGUCUGAAUAGUAACAAAACCAUGUAAAUAGUUACUUUUUCGGUGUAAACGUGUUUCCAAACUUUACCACCCUCUAGACUCCGAAUAUGAGCAAACAAAGUUGUUUUGACGUCUUAGUGAAGAAUCACCAAAAUAUGAAACUUGGGUUUUUAUGAAAAUUAAAAUUUUGAGAGCUUUUUAGAUGAAAAUAGAGAAAAAAUGAAGUUUUGUUAGUGUAGAAUGAGAAAAAAGAAGAUGGAAAUGGUAUGGUUGUUCGUGGUGGUUGGAGAAAUUACUAAUAGUGAAAUUGUUGUAAAUAAGAAUAACAUAAUAAUAAAAAUGUUUAGGGUGUAUAAGGUUUUUUGUCAUUUUCAAAAAUGAGAAGAAAUUAAAUUAUAAUGGCAUUUUUGUAAAUAUUGGUAAAAUCUAAGGAUUGUAGAGGAAAAUUAUAACAAAAUAUUGGUGUUAAAAAAGAGGUUAGUUUGCAUUUGACUUCAAUUCUUGAAUUAUUUUUGAAAAACCCCCUAAUAAUAUUAUAGAGCGAAGUAUCGAAUAAGAGCACACCCAUAAUGAUAAAAAAAAACACUUCAUAAAGUUUCUCAUCGAAAAAGUAAUUAGAAAAUAGAAGAGACUCUAAAAAUACAUGAGAAACUCUCACAACCCUUCACCAAAAAAAAAACUCUCACAAAACUUACCAAUAGAUUAGUAGUUGAUUGAUUUUCAAAGAAAUUAAAAUAUUCAUGAAAUAAAACAUGAAUGUUUUAUACUUUUUAAAGACUCGCAACAUUUUAACCAUUGACAAUGAUCUAUUUUCUAAUUUCCAGUUUUAAAAAAUACUGUGUUUGUGACCUAACACAGAAAAGAGCGUGACCAGAUUUUUAUUUUUUUUAAAUGCCAAGUAAAUAGGAUAAAACCCCAGAGCAAAGUAUUCUAUAGCUUUAUACUAGUAAGAUAAAACCCAAAAGCAAAAUAUUCUAUAAAUAGUUGUCAGACAAUUUGGUUAUAUUCAUUUUUAACAUAAACCUUAACGUGUGUGAGAGAGAGAAAACCCUAACCGGCCGCCAAGACCUUCAUUCUCAGAUCUGCCACAGUCUCCCCGGUGGUUUGGCUUCCGCCACCGCCGGAGGAUGCUCUUCCUCCUCUUUCUCUUAUGUGUCAUGUGUUUCCGGUGUUCUGCUAGAGCAAGGAAGGUGUGUUGGCUCCUUUUCCGGUUUGGUCUCUAGUUUGCUCCAGACACUCCUCUCGUUUUCACAAUGUUCAGUUUUUCUCGUUGAUGGUGGUUGUCCGACCAGAUCUGGGGAGUGUACUUCGAGUCUUUGGGAGAGGUCUCUGGUUGUUUUCAUAUCUAGUUUUGUGUUCCUCUGCAGUAUCCAGUUUGUGGUGGUCUCUGUCAACUGUGGCUAUCUUCUGUGUUGUAUUGUUGAGAGCUCCUACAAAGCAGCUGUUAAUCUUUCUCUUUCCAAGUUGAUCUUGGGUCUUUGAAGUUUAGCCUUCGGUGUUGAGAUAGUGAUAAUGGCGAUCCAGCGGUCUGCUUUCGGAUCUGUUAUGUGAUUGUUUUGAUGGUGUUGGUAGAGGCAUUGCUACUUGUUUCAUGGUGGUUUCUAUCAAGGCGUUUAUUGGUCGGGUCAUGUGUUGUCCGACUCGCCGUUUUCAAAGAAGUCUUAUGAAGAUCAAUGUCUUUAAGUUGCUCGAUUGUGAAGCCAUAGGUUCUUUGUGAUGGAGAGGUUAUCUGUCUUGGGAGAGGUGGACUCUCAUCACAGUGAGAGAGGUUUAAAACCGCUUGCUUCGUGAGUCGGACUCUCUCACUCUCACAUUCUCAUAACUUUUUUGGGUUUUUGAAUUUAUUUCUUACCCACGUGUGUAUGGGAUUAGUCUAUAGAUGCCUACUGGUGUCUUUUUCUUUGAGUUUUAGUUCCUGGCCUAUUUGGUCCAGAGUUGUAAGGAUACUUUUGAUUGAUUACCGAGCGUUAAAAAAAAAGACAAUUUGGUUAUA